rnacentral:miRNA from 1 species
CCCAGGAGGUUAACCACUGAGCUAUAUCUCCAGCCCUUGAUAUAUAUAUAUAUAUAUAUAUAUAUAUAUAAAGGGCUGGAGAUAUAGCUCAGUGGUUAACCUCCUGGG